rnacentral:rRNA from 1 species
CCUACGGGUGACAGCAGUGAGGAAUAUUGGUCAAUGGACGAGAGUCUGAACCAGCCAAGUAGCGUGAAGGAUGACUGCCCUAUGGGUUGUAAACUUCUUUUAUAUGGGAAUAAAACGUUCCACGUGUGGGAUUUUGUAUGUACCAUAUGAAUAAGGAUCGGCUAACUCCGUGCCAGCAGCCGCGGUAAUACGGAGGAUCCGAGUGUUAUCCGGAUUUAUUGGGUUUAAAGGGAGCGUAGGUGGAUUGUUAAGUCAGUUGUGAAAGUUUGCGGCUCAACCGUAAAAUUGCAGUUGAAACUGGCAGUCUUGAGUACAGUAGAGGUGGGCGGAAUUCGUGGUGUAGCGGUGAAAUGCUUAGAUAUCACGAAGAACUACGAUUGCGAAGGCAGUUCACUGGACUGCAACUGACAUUGAGGCUCGAAAGUGUGGGUAUCAAACAGGAUUAGAUACCCUAGUAGUC